rnacentral:rRNA from 1 species
UACGAAGGGGGCUAGCGUUGUUCGGAAUCACUGGGCGUAAAGGGCGCGUAGGCGGCCGUUCAAGUCGGGGGUGAAAGCCUGUGGCUCAACCACAGAAUUGCCUUCGAUACUGUACGGCUCGAGACCGGAAGAGGUCAGUGGAACUGCGAGUGUAGAGGUGAAAUUCGUAGAUAUUCGCAAGAACACCAGUGGCGAAGGCGGCUGACUGGUCCGGUUCUGACGCUGAGGCGCGAAAGCGUGGGGAGCAAAC